AGACGGAAGGGGACACAGGCCAUGGGAACUCGCCCCUGCUGAGUUACUCUACCUUUGGCAGCCUGAAGUUCGGGCUCCUGGCCCAGCAUUGCAGGUCCCCCGCUGUCGGGAUGGACCCCAGGCUCAGAACCCUCAUCUGGUCAGGGCUCUCCCCCUGCCUGGAACCAACCCACAGACCUUCCAGGACUCAGGCCAGGGCAAAAGUAAGGGGCACAAGUGGAGAGAACACCUGUGGAGGUGCCUGCUUGGUGCAAGUUCAGGCAGAGGCGCUUGACGUGACACUUCCCCUUUAACUGACUCAUCACUCCCAGCGUCCAGGCUGCGUCAUGGCCAUUAUGCAGAGAAGUCAACCAAAUCGCAGAGAGUUCAUUGACGGGACAGAGCCUUGCAGGGGAACAGAUUCAAUUGCAGAACUCAGGCCCAAAUGACUCCGCACCACGUGUGCAAGUGCAGACACACACACACACACACACACACACACAGCCUGCCUGUGCUGCUGAGGGUGCAAUAAGGACCAAGACCAAGAGAAAGAGUAGCCAAGGGAAGAGGGACAGGCUUUUGUUGGGACAGUCCUGGUGGCAAAGGGCAUUUUGGCUGAGAAACCCCUAAAGUUAGAUUUGACCCCAUGACUGGGGUGGGGGGCACAAGCUUAUCUCAGAGCUGUCAACUCCCCUGCUCUGGGGUCUGGUUGAUCCGUGCAGGGACACAGCCCUGUGUGCUGAGAGGAAAGCUGGCCCUGUGUCGGGGGUGGGACAGGCACCCAAGGGCCCCGUGGCCCUCCCUUUUCUUCCCCAGGUGGCUGCCCCGCCCCAGAGGCGCUCCUGCCACCCGCCUCUCCGAGGGGGACGCCUCCAGCCACUUGUCCCAGCCUCGGGAGUCUCCACAGCAGAGAGAGAUGUGGGAGGGUGAGUUCUGAGGAGAUUCGGAGUUCUGAGGAGAUUGGGAUCCUCUCCAGGGAUGAGGGAGCCGGGCUGGAGGGGCUCGUGGGGAGCGGGGGGCCUCUGCCCCUGCUGAUUGAAGAGGAGCGCGCUGUGGGCAUCUAGUGAACCGAGGCUGAUAGAAAAGAAGGGGCCCCUGGCCAGGCUCCGUGCUGAGGACCGGGCGCCUUUGUUGCUUUUGAAGAGAGAGAGUCUUGGGGGAGCAAGCCCGCGGCUGCCUCUUCCUCCCUCAGAUGAUUCCUUUGCCCUAACUGGACACCUGGUGGGGCUCAGAGUUGAUGGGGUCACAGGGGAUCUGCCAGCUCAGGAAAGAAGAAGAAUUUUAACAUUCUCCAGCCAGACACAGGCCAAGACCAACAACGCUUCACUUGGCGAAGACCAUUUCGUGUUCCUCCAGCAGCCUCUGUGACCUCGGGCGGGCCAUUCUGUCAAGUAAUCCUGAAUUUACCUCCCAGUGACAUUGUGUCUCUGGGUCAUCAUCAGACUUCUCAGGGCAGACCCACGGGACUGUGGAGAAAAGGGCUUGAAGGAAGGAGGAGAUUUGUGCCAGAGCCCCUGGUGCUGUCAAAGUCAAAUAAAAUAUACAGACAAAUCUCUAA